AUGGUGGCCCUCAGCGCCUGCAGCGCGCCGUGGAGCCUGGCGGAGCCGCGGAGGCUGUUGCACGCCAGCAGGCGGAGCUCGUCCUCCACGUCCCGCCGGAUGGUCGGCGCGCGCAGCAGCGUGCCCCGGAAGGCGAUCACCGCGCUGGGCGCGCCGGUGGGCCUCUCCUCCUCCCCGCGGCGGUCGAGCAGGUGGCGGUCCUCCCACUCGAAGAUGGCGCCGAAGACGGAGCCGUCGCGCUCGUCCACCAGCUCGUGCGCGAGGCGGUAGCUGAAGGGCUUCCACCACUGCUGCGCCACCUCCGCCGCGUCCCGCCGCUCCUGCCUCUCCAGCUCCAGCAGGUACACCGCCUCGAUCAGGCUCGCCAUCACCAUCCUCCUGUAA
rnacentral:rRNA from 1 species